GUGGGGAAUAUUGGGCAAUGGGCGAAAGCCUGACCCAGCAACGCCGCGUGAGGGAAGAAGGCCUUCGGGUUGUAAACCUCUGUCCUUGGUGACGAAGAAAGUGACGGUAGCCAAGGAGGAAGCCCCGGCUAACUACGUGCCAGCAGCCGCGGUAAUACGUAGGGGGCGAGCGUUGUCCGGAAUUACUGGGCGUAAAGGGUGCGUAGGUGGCCUUUUAAGUUGGAUGUGAAAUACCCGGGCUUAACUUGGGGGGUGCAUCUAAUACUGGGAGGCUAGAGUGCAGGAGAGGGAAGCGGAAUUCCUAGUGUAGCGGUGAAAUGCGUAGAUAUUAGGAGGAACACCAGUGGCGAAGGCGGCUUGCUGGACGACAACUGACGCUGAGGCGCGAAAGCGUGGGGAGCAAACAGGAUUAGAAACCCGGGUAGUCC
rnacentral:rRNA from 1 species